CCUUGACAUACUAAGAACUUUCCAGAGAUGGAUUGGUGCCUUCGGGAACUUAGAUACAGGUGCUGCAUGGCUGUCGUCAGCUCGUGUCGUGAGAUGUUGGGUUAAGUCCCGNAACGAGCGCAACCCUUUUCCUAUUUGCCAGCGGGUCAUGCCGGGAACUUUAAGGAUACUGCCAGUGACAAACUGGAGGAAGGCGGGGACGACGUCAAGUCAUCAUGGCCCUUACGGCCAGGGCUACACACGUGCUACAAUGGUCGGUACAAAGGGUUGCUACCUCGCGAGAGGAUGCUAAUCUCAAAAAGCCGAUCGUAGUCCGGAUCGCAGUCUGCAACUCGACUGCGUGAAGUCGGAAUCGCUAGUAAUCGCGGAUCAGAAUGCCGCGGUCGAAUACGUUCCCGGGCCUUGUACACACCGCCCGUCACACCAUGGGAGUUUGUUGCACCAGAAGUAGGUAGUCUAACCGCAAGGAGGACGCUUACCACGGUGUGGCCGAUGACUGGGGUGAAGUCGUAACAAGGUAAGCGUAGAUGA
rnacentral:rRNA from 1 species